CUGGGCUGGGAACAGUAUGUUCAGACAGAGCCAGGAGAAUUCAUCGCUGUGAAGUUACAGGCCUUAGUCUGAGGCUGCUCUCCAGCUUGGCGCCUGACAGAGAAAAUUGGCUUUAGGUCAGAACCCUGGUGUAAUGAAAAGGCACGCUGGAGGGAGACCUAAACCCAAGGGCGGUCCUUCAAUGCCAGGAAACUGCCAGACUUCGGGUUGGUCACUCAUCUCUCUGGGACACUGUCCCUAUGAGUGUGAAGUGAAGGUAGUAGGGGCAGCCCCAUUUCUCUGAAAUAUUGAUAAGGACAAAAUGUGUGUGGAAGCAAAACUGUAAAGUGACAAGGCUUGUGAUCAACUCUGACAGUUGUGCCUAUGCCUGUCCAGGACCUAGGAUGAAAGCAAGGGCUGGAGAACUUUAGCACAAGAUAAAGGCAGAGAGAAUCUGGACAUCCAGAGCUGAACCAUUAAGUCCAGCUGUCCUUGGAUGGAGUGAUCAGGCUAGACUCUAUGUCCUCAAAUGGAGAGCAUCUACAUAGAGUACUACUGAGAAUUCUGGGCUCCAUAAAAAGGGAGGGUAAAUAACUCAGAAGACUCUGAAGAGAGAAACCUGCUCUGAAUCUUUAUAUAGAGAUGCUCUAGGAAAUGGUCCUCUUUAGGAAUCUCUGACCCUGAUGUCCACCACUGGGCCCUUGCAACAUCAUCCAUGAUGCUGUCUCUUCUCUCCAAUGCUUCUGGCUGUGGGUCAUGGACCAGAGCACACAGAUAUUUUUAUGUCAUUGUAAUGGAUUAAUGAUGGCUCAAAAUCAAAUCUUUGCAGAAUAUCAAAGAUUCACAUCAGAGACACAAGGGUGAAAGUUCCCUUCCUUGAAAUAUAGAGCUUUAGGUUUUUGGUUUGGGGUUAUAUUUUUAAUGUUGAAUAUAUUCAUCAUAUUCUUUUAACCUAAGAAUCCAAAAUAAAAUCCACAUGGUGCCAAAGUAUGAAAGCCUUCAAAGAACAGAGAACAACUUUGGAAGCAAUAAAAUAUAUUUUUAAAAAUUUG
rnacentral:lncRNA from 1 species